ACCUGACUCCAAGAAGACCCUGUCUCGUGCCAGUAUUUAGCCUUAGAUGGAGUUUACCACCAGCUUUGGUCUGCAUUCCCAAGCAACCCAAC